rnacentral:rRNA from 1 species
UGGCGCACGGGUGAGUAACACGUAGAUAAUCUACCUUCAAGACUGGAAUAACUGUUCGAAAGGGCAGCUAAUACCGGAUGAAGUUGAUUCACACAGGUGAGUUAAUGAAAGAUUGCCUCUUCUUGAAAGCAAUUGUUUGGAGAUGAGUCUGCGGACCAUUAGUUUGUUGGUGGGGUAAAGGCCUACCAAGACUGCGAUGGUUAGCUGGUCUGAGAGGAUGAUCAGCCACACUGGAACUGACACACGGUCCAGACUCCUACGGGAGGCAGCAGUGAGGAAUUUUGCGCAAUGGGGGUAACCCUGACGCAGCAACGCCGCGUGAGUGACGAAGGCCCUUGGGUCGUAAAGCUCUGUCGACAGGGAAGAAAUUAACAUCAUCCAAUAGGUGUUGUUAUUGACGGUACCUGUAGAGGAAGCACCGGCUAACUCCGUGCCAGCAGCCGCGGUAACACGGGGGGUGCAAGCGUUAUUCGGAAUUAUUGGGCGUAAAGGGCGCGUAGGCGGUCUUGUCGGUCAGAUGUGAAAGCCCGGGGCUCAACCCUGGAAGUGCAUUUGAAACAGCAAGACUUGAGUACUGGAGAGGAGAGCGGAAUUCCUGGUGUAGAGGUGAAAUUCGUAGAUAUCAGGAGGAACACCGAUGGCGAAGGCAGCUCUCUGGACAGAUACUGACGCUGAGGCGCGAAGGCGUNNGUAGCGAACAGGAUUANAUACCCUGGUAGUCCACGCAGUAAACGUUGUACACUCGGUGUGCCGGAUAUUAAAAUCUGGUGUGCCUAANUUAACACAUUAAGUGUACCGCCUGGGGAGUA